GACGAACGCUGGCGGCGUGCUUAACACAUGCAAGUCGAACGGAAAGGCCCUGCUUUUGUGGGGUGCUCGAGUGGCGAACGGGUGAGUAACACGUGAGUAACCUGCCCUUGACUUUGGGAUAACUUCAGGAAACUGGGGCUAAUACCGGAUAGGAGCUCCUGCUGCAUGGUGGGGGUUGGAAAGUUUCGGCGGUUGGGGAUGGACUCGCGGCUUAUCAGCUUGUUGGUGGGGUAGUGGCUUACCAAGGCUUUGACGGGUAGCCGGCCUGAGAGGGUGACCGGGAAGAUGGGGGAUGAAAAGAGGCCCGAACCAGGAGGGGAGAAAAAAGGGGGGAAUUUUGGAGAGGGGGAGAAGGCUGAAACAGGAAUCACCGCGGGAGGAGAAAGGCUUUGGGGGUUAGAUCCGUCUUCCGCUUGGGAGGAAGGGUGAGUAGCGGUAAGGGGUAAAAGAGAACCGGUAAACUACGUG
rnacentral:rRNA from 1 species